CUGCCCGCUAGACAUGUACACUUAACAAUCAUUCCAUACAACAAAUAUAGUAGACCUAUUGCAUAUGGUAUGAGAAAAACAGACCAAAACACAAAAAUUUAACUAUAACCACUGAACCAUGAAAAUGAGGUCAAGGUCAGAUGACACCUGCCAGUUGGACAUGUACACCUUACAGUCCUUCCAUACACCAAAUAUACUAGCCCUAUUGCUUAUAGUAUCUGAGAUAUGGACUUGACCACCAAAACUUAACCUUGUUCACUGAUCCAUGAAAUGAGGUCGAGGUCAAGUGAAAACUGUCUGACGGGCAUGAGGACCUUGCAAGGUACGCA
rnacentral:lncRNA from 1 species